GAGGAAGUGGCAGGCAGGCAGGCUGGCCCCGGGGACUUCUCUCUGGCCCUGCUCCCUCCGAGCGCUCCGCCGUUGCCCGCCUGGCCCCUACGGAGUCCUUAGCCAGGAUGGAGGCUGUUGUGAACUUGUACCAAGAGAUGAUGAAGCACGCAGAUCCCCGGAUCCAGGGCUACCCUCUGAUGGGGUCCCCUUUGCUAAUGACCUCCAUCCUCCUGACCUACGUGUACUUCGUUCUCUCACUUGGGCCUCGCAUCAUGGCUAAUCGGAAGCCCUUCCAGCUCCGUGGCUUCAUGAUUGUCUACAACUUCUCACUGGUGGCACUCUCCCUCUACAUUGUCUAUGAGUUCCUGAUGUCGGGCUGGCUGAGCACCUAUACCUGGCGCUGUGACCCUGUGGACUAUUCCAACAGCCCUGAGGCACUUAGGAUGGUUCGGGUGGCCUGGCUCUUCCUCUUCUCCAAGUUCAUUGAGCUGAUGGACACAGUGAUCUUUAUUCUCCGAAAGAAAGAUGGGCAGGAGGAAUGGGCUCUUUCCAUGCCAUGAUAAACUCUUCUGUGCAUGUCAUAAUGUACCUGUACUACGGAUUGUCUGCCUUUGGCCCUGUGGCACAACCCUACCUUUGGUGGAAAAAGCACAUGACAGCCAUUCAGCUGAUCCAGUUUGUCCUGGUCUCACUGCACAUCUCCCAGUACUACUUUAUGUCCACCUGUAACUACCAGUACCCAGUCAUUAUUCACCUCAUCUGGAUGUAUGGCACCAUCUUCUUCGUGCUGUUCUCCAACUUCUGGUAUCACUCUUAUACCAAGGGCAAGCGGCUGCCCCGUGCACUUCAGCAAAAUGGAGCUCCAGGUAUUGCCAAGGUCAAGGCCAACUGAGAAGCAUGGCCCAGAUAGGCGCCCACCUAAGUGCCUCAGGACUGCACCUUGGGCAGCGUCCGUCAGUGCCCUCUCCACCUACACCUGUGACCAAGGCUUAUGUGGUCAGGACUGAGCAGGGGACUGGCCCUCCCCUCCCCACAGCUGCUCUACAGGGAC
rnacentral:sRNA from 1 species